GGGGCUGAUAUUGGAUUUGACAAAAUUAUUGAAAACUGAUGUGCAUGCCGAGGAUGGUUUGCCUCGUUAAAAAACCAUAAAAAAUAGUAGCAAAACAAAAUCAAUACGCUUUAGCAGCUUAAUAAUCUGAAUAAAGCCCUUCUUUUAAACAUAUUCUCUUAAUGUUUAAUUUAUAUAGAAGGUUAAUCUAAAGAGAUCGCAACUCAAAUCUAUUUUGAAAGAUUUUUUGUUGCUAAAUAAAAACUUCAAAAUAUAUAUCUAUAAUGAGUCUAUACAUCGAUAGAUAAGAAAAGAUAAUAGACUAAGCAUGUAGUAUCUGAAGUCGUAAAAAUUUUGGACGCGGGUUCGAAUCCCGCCAGCUCCAAAA
rnacentral:tmRNA from 17 species